UGGCUAUGAAUGGUGACAUAGACC
rnacentral:siRNA from 1 species